AGAGCGGAGUGGGUGGGACUUCCGGCUACGUAACUUCCGGCUACGGGGCUUCCGCCGUUAGCAGGGGCCCAGCAGCACCAGGAGGACUUGUAGAACCUGAGAAAAAUAUCCUUCACUGAGAAGCAACGAUGUCUACCAGAAUAAAAGGAGACUGAGAGAAGCAGGAUUAGGGCAGAAUUUAGUGCCUCAACCGCCUCCAGGGAUCCACGGGGACGAGCACCCGGGCCGGGCCGCACUCACCCGGGCAUACUUGAGCACCUCCUGCACCCUCCAGAAGCG